rnacentral:rRNA from 1 species
GAAACGACUGCUAAGACUGGAUAGGAGACAAGAAGGCAUCUUCUUGUUUUUAAAAGACCUAGCAAUAGGUAUGCUUAGGGAGGAGCUUGCGUCACAUUAGUUAGUUGGUGGGGUAAAGGCCUACCAAGACUAUGAUGUGUAGCCGGGCUGAGAGGUUGAACGGCCACAUUGGGACUGAGACACGGCCCAAACUCCUACGGGAGGCAGCAGUAGGGAAUUUUCGGCAAUGGAGGAAACUCUGACCGAGCAACGCCGCGUGAACGAUGAAGUAUUUCGGUACGUAAAGUUCUUUUAUUAGGGAAGAAUAAAUGAUGGAAAAAUCAUUCUGACGGUACCUAAUGAAUAAGCCCCGGCUAACUAUGUGCCAGCAGCCGCGGUAAUACAUAGGGGGCAAGCGUUAUCCCGGAAUUAUUGGGCGUAAAGGGUGCGUAGGCGGUUAAAUAAGUUUAUGGUCUAAGUGCAAUGCUCAACAUUGUGAUGCUAUAAAAACUGUUUAGCUAGAGUAAGAUAGAGGCAAGUGGAAUUCCAUGUGUAGUGGUAAAAUGCGUAAAUAUAUGGAGGAACACCAGUAGCGAAGGCGGCUUGCUGGGUCUUUACUGACGCUGAGGCACGAAAGCGUGGGGAGCAAACAGGAUUAGAUACCCUGGUAGUCCACGCCGUAAACGAUGAGUACUAAACGUUGGUUAAAACCAGUGUUGAAGUUAACACAUUAAGUACUCCGCCUGAGUAGUACGUACGCAAGUAUGAAACUUAAAGGAAUUGACGGGACUCCGCACAAGCGGUGGAUCAUGUUGUUUAAUUCGAAGGUACCCGAAAAACCUCACCAGGUCUUGACAUGCUUCUGCAAAGCUGUAGAAACACAGUGGAGGUUAUCAGUUGCACAGGUGGUGCAUGGUUGUCGUCAGCUCGUGUCGUGAGAUGUUGGGUUAAGUCCCGCAACGAGCGCAACCCUUAUUGUUAGUUACCAGCACGUAAUGGUGGGGACUUUAGCAAGACUGCCAGUGAUAAAUUGGAGGAAGGUGGGGACGACGUCAAAUCAUCAUGCCCCUUAUGACCUGGGCUACAAACGUGAUACAAUGGCUGUUACAAAGGGUAGCUGAAGCGCAAGUUUUUGGCGAAUCUCAAAAAAACAGUCUCAGUUCGGAUUGAAGUCUGCAACUCGACUUCAUAAAGUUGGAAUCGCUAGUAAUCGCGAAUCAGCAUGUCGCGGUGAAUACGUUCUCGGGGUUUGUACACACCGCCCGUCA